rnacentral:rRNA from 1 species
CGAACGGGUGAGUAACACGUGGGCAACCUGCCCAAAAGAGGGGGAUAACACUUGGAAACAGGUGCUAAUACCGCAUAACCAUAGUUACCGCAUGGUAACUAUGUAAAAGGUGGCUAUGCUACCGCUUUUGGAUGGGCCCGCGGCGCAUCAGCUAGUUGGUGGGGUAAAGGCUUACCAAGGCAAUGAUGCGUAGCCGAACUGAGAGGUUGAUCGGCCACAUUGGGACUGAGACACGGCCCAAACUCCUACGGAAGGCAGCAG